CUCUGGGUCUUGGAUCUUGGAGUUUCCACCCAAACACAGAAAUAUUAUUUUUACCAGGUA
rnacentral:tRNA from 1 species